AAAUGAAUAGACGGGGGCCCGCACAAGCGGUGGAGUAUGUGGUUUAAUUCGACGCAACGCGAAGAACCUUACCAGGUCUUGACAUCUCCUGUUCGCUGUGGAAACACAGUUUUUCCCUUCGGGGAACAGGAAGACAGGUGGUGCAUGGUUGUCGUCAGCUCGUGUCGUGAGAUGUUGGGUUAAGUCCCGCAACGAGCGCAACCCCUACCUUUAGUUGCCAGCAUAUAAUGGUGGGCACUCUAAAGGGACCGCCGUUGACAAAACGGAGGAAGGUGGGGAUGACGUCAAAUCAUCAUGCCCUUUAUGAUCUGGGCUACACACGUACUACAAUGGCCGGUACAGACGGCAGCGCAACCGCGAGGUGAAGCGAACCCGAUAAAGCCGGUCCCAGUUCGGAUUGCAGGCUGCAACCCGCCUGCAUGAAGUCGGAAUCGCUAGUAAUCGCAGGUCAGCAUACUGCGGUGAAUACGUUCCCGGGCCUUGUACACACCGCCCGU
rnacentral:rRNA from 1 species